rnacentral:rRNA from 1 species
CUCUGUGACUCCUACGGGAGGCAGCAGUGGGGAAUAUUGCACAAUGGGCGCAAGCCUGAUGCAGCCAUGCCGCGUGUGUGAAGAAGGCCUUCGGGUUGUAAAGCACUUUCAGUUGUGAGGAAGGUGGUGUCGUUAAUAGCGGCAUCAUUUGACGUUAGCAACAGAAGAAGCACCGGCUAACUCCGUGCCAGCAGCCGCGGUAAUACGGAGGGUGCGAGCGUUAAUCGGAAUUACUGGGCGUAAAGCGCAUGCAGGUGGUUUGUUAAGUCAGAUGUGAAAGCCCCGGGGCUCAACCUCGGAACUGCAUUUGAAACUGGCAGACUAGAGUACUGUAGAGGGGGUAGAAUUUCAGGUGUAGCGGUGAAAUGCGUAGAGAUCUGAAGGAAUACCGGUGGCGAAGGCGGCCCCCUGGACAGAUACUGACACUCAGAUGCGAAAGCGUGGGGAGCAAACAGGAUUAGAUACCCUGUAG